GAUUUGCGCUAGUUUUGCAAACCGCCUUUGACGCCACAUAAUUUACAGACAACUUUUAAUCAUGUGGCCGUGGGUUCGAGUCCCACCCGGAUCACCA
rnacentral:tRNA from 1 species